GAUGAACGCUGGCGGCGUGCCUAAUACAUGCAAGUCGAGCGAACAGACGAGGAGCUUGCUCCUCUGACGUUAGCGGCGGACGGGUGAGUAACACGUGGAUAACCUACCUAUAAGACUGGGAUAACUUCGGGAAACCGGAGCUAAUACCGGAUAAUAUAUUGAACCGCAUGGUUCAAUAGUGAAAGACGGUUUUGCUGUCACUUAUAGAUGGAUCCGCGCCGCAUUAGCUAGUUGGUAAGGUAACGGCUUACCAAGGCAACGAUGCGUAGCCGACCUGAGAGGGGGGGCGGCACCAGGGGACAGGAACAAGGGCCAGGCCUCCGCGGGAGGGAAGAAGAGGGGAAUCUGCGGAAAGGGGCGAAAGCCGGACGGAACACCGCGGGGGGAGGGAGAAAGUUCUUCGGAUCGAAAAACUUUUUUAUGGGGAAAAAAAAAAUGGGUAAGUACUUAUGCCCGUCUUGAGGGGACCUAAUAAAAAAGCCAGGGCAAACUCCGUG
rnacentral:rRNA from 1 species